GGGGGCGACCUGGCUUCGACGCGGGUAGCAAAACCUUAGGUGCAUGUCGAGGGGCAGACCACCUCGUAAAUCCAGCUGCAAACCUUAUAGUUGCCAACGACGACAACUACGCACUCGCCGCUUAAUACCCGGUAGGGUGCCGUCCGGACUGGGGCCGUGCUUGUGCGCCCAGCCCCGGGCGUCAUAUCUCACAAGAUCGCGGGGAAGCUCUCCCAGGGCGGAACCGUUAAACACUCACUGGGAUCGCCGUCUGUCUUCCCUGCUCAUCGGGUAGCAGCCGGUUAAAACAAUCGAUGAGAUAAACAUGUAGAGCCGAAGGCGGAGUGCUUGCGGACGCGGGUUCGAUUCCCGCCGCCUCCACCA
rnacentral:tmRNA from 1 species